rnacentral:rRNA from 1 species
AUUGAACGCUAGCGGGAUGCCUUACACAUGCAAGUCGAACGGAGUGGCGAACGGGGGAGUAAUGCAUCGGAACGUGCCCAGUAGUGGGGGAUAACUACGCGAAAGCGUAGCUAAUACCGCAUACUUUUGGAGCGGCCGAUAUCGGCUUAGCUAGUUGGUGGGGUAACGGCUCACCAAGGCGACGAGCCGUAGCUGGUUUGAGAGGACGACCAGCCACACUGGGACUGAGACACGGCCCAGACUCCUACGGGAGGCAGCAGUGGGGAAUUUUCGGCAAUGGGGGAAACCCUGAUCCAGCCAUGCCGCGUGUGCGAAGAAGGCCUUCGGGUUGUAAAGCACUUUUGGCAGGAAAGCGGUACCUACAGAGUAAGCACCGGCUAACUACGUGCCAGCAGCCGCGGUAAUUC